rnacentral:rRNA from 1 species
GACGAACGCUGGCGGCGUGCUUAACACAUGCAAGUCGAACGGUGAAGCGCCUUCCUUUUUGGUGGGUGUGGAUGAGUGGCGAACGGGUGAGUAACACGUGAGUAACCUGCCCCCUUCUUCUGGAUAACCGCAUGAAAGUGUGGCUAAUACGGGAUAUUCUGGGUCUGUCGCAUGAUGGGUCUGGGAAAGAUAUUGUUUCGGUGGGGGAUGGGCUCGCGGCCUAUCAGCUUGUUGGUGGGGUGAUGGCCUACCAAGGCGGUGACGGGUAGCCGGCCUGAGAGGGUGGACGGUCACACUGGGACUGAGACACGGCCCAGACUCCUACGGGAGGCAGCAGUGGGGAAUAUGGCACAAUGGGCGCAAGCCUGAUGCAGCGACGCCGCGUGAGGGAUGGAGGCCUGCGGGUUGUGAACCUCUUUCGCCAGUGAAGCAGGCCUGCCUCGUUUGUGGGUGGGUUGACGGUAGCUGGAGAAGAAGCGCCGGCUAACUACGUG